rnacentral:misc_RNA from 1 species
AGUAUAUCUCUUUUCAUAUCAAUAGAUUCCAUCUUGCAAACUAUGCUAUUCUGUUAGUUAUGAGCCAUUUAUUGUACUUUCUCAGGUGUUUGGAUUUAACUUUUAGGUAGUGCUUAUGGUUAUGGAAUGGCACCAUUCUUGAUACUUUACUUGUCUUUAGCAAAACAUGAGUUAAUUUUGGUUUAGGACUGAAUGAUUUAACAUGCGCAUUACUGCAUUAGUUUU